rnacentral:rRNA from 1 species
UACAGAGGUCUCGAGCGUUUGUUCGGAUUCAUUGGGCGUAAAGGGCGCGUAGGCGGCGGGGUAAGUCUGGUGUGAAAUCUCGGAGCUCAACUCCGAAAUUGCACUGGAUACUGCUCUGCUAGAGGGCUGGAGAGGAGAUCGGAAUCAGCGGUGUAGCAGUGAAAUGCGUAGAUAUCGUGAGGAAGACCAGUGGCGAAGGCGGAUCUCUGGACAGCUCCUGACGCUGAGGCGCGAAGGCUAGGGGAGCAAACGGGAU